rnacentral:rRNA from 1 species
UACGUAGGGACCAAGCGUUGUUCGGAUUUACUGGGCGUAAAGGGCGCGUAGGCGGCUUGGCAAGUGGAAGGUGAAAUCCCUCGGCUCAACUGAGGAACUGCCUUCCAGACUGCUUUGCUUGAGUCCGGGAGAGGUGAGUGGAAUUCCCAGUGUAGCGGUGAAAUGCGUAGAUAUUAGGAGGAACACCGGUGGCGAAGGCGCCACUCUGGGCCGAAACUGACGCUGAGGAGCGAAAGCAUGGGUAGCAAACAGG